rnacentral:rRNA from 1 species
AUUGAACGCUGGCGGCAGGCCUAACACAUACAAGUCGAACGGUAGCACAGAGAGCUUGCUCUCGGGUGACGAGUGGCGGACGGGUGAGUAAUGUCUGGGAAACUGCCCGAUGGAAGGGGAUAACUACUGGAAACGGUAGCUAAUACCGCAUAACGUCGCAAGACCAAAGUGGGGGACCUUCGGGCCUCACACCAUCGGAUGUGCCCAGAUGGGAUUAGCUAGUAGGUGGGGUAAUGGCUCACCUAGGCGACGAUCCCUAGCUGGUCUGAGAGGAUGACCAGCCACACUGGAACUGAGACACGGUCCAGACUCCUACGGGAGGCAGCAGUGGGGAAUAUUGCACAAUGGGCGCAAGCCUGAUGCAGCCAUGCCGCGUGUAUGAAGAAGGCCUUCGGGUUGUAAAGUACUUUCAGCGGGGAGGAAGGCGGUGAAGUUGAUAACUUCUCCGAUUGACGUUACCCGCAGAAGAAGCACCGGCUAACUCCGUGCCAGCCGCCGCGGUAA